rnacentral:rRNA from 1 species
CCUACGGGAGGCAGCAGUGAGGAAUAUUGGUCAAUGGGCGAGAGCCUGAACCAGCCAAGUCGCGUGAAGGAUGAAGGAUCUAUGGUUUGUACACUUCUUUUAUAUGGGAAUAAAGUGAGGAACGUGUUCCUUUUUGUAUGUACCAUAUGAAUAAGCAUCGGCUAACUCCGUGCCAGCAGCCGCGGUAAUACGGAGGAUGCGAGCGUUAUCCGGAUUUAUUGGGUUUAAAGGGUGCGUAGGUGGUUAAUUAAGUCAGCGGUGAAAGUUUGUGGCACAACCAUAAAAUUGCCGUUGAAAGUGGUUGACUUGAGUAUAUUUGAGGUAGGCGGAAUGCGUGGUGUAGCGGUGAAAUGCAUAGAUAUCACGAAGAACUCCGAUUGCGAAGGCAGUUCACUGGACUGCAACUGACACUGAGGCUCGAAAGUGUGGAUAUCAAACAGGAUUAGAUACCCUUGUAGUC